AAAAAAUGGCCCAUUUCUAAGAAGAUUCCCCAGAACAAAAAAGAAAUCCAAAUAUGGGUUCUGGGUAUUAAGUUUUGAGAUAUCUUUGACUACAGGAGUGGGGUGUAUUAUUCUGAUUUCUGCAGUACCUUUAGUGGCUCUGGCUCAAAGACUUAAGUAUUGA
rnacentral:lncRNA from 1 species